CGAGUUUCAGCCACUUUCCAUGACGCAAGGUCGGGGUCGUUACGAGUAGGACAAAUAUACACCAAGCCUUUGAAGGAUGAGGUUCCAGUUCGGCUCCUACUUCACGACUAUCUUUCCAGAAAACCAUUCUCUCCCUUCUUUCUCCUUCAAACUUCUUUCUACCAUAACUUUCAUUCUACAACUCCAAUUCUUGUGCCGCUUUCGCCUUUAGGAUCGUAUGAACGAGCUCUACAAGAUAAGUGUGUUUUGGGAGAAUGGUGGUCACUAGGCAGCUCAUUGAAGGUUGAGGAUUACUUUGGAGCUGUUAAGCAGGUGAAGAAUCUACCUUGGGCAGAACCUACAGAGAACUCAGAGUAAUUUUGGGUUGAAGUGGAAGUUGGAUGACAUGAAAGGAGGAUUCAGACCAAAAUUCAGCCUCCAGCCCGAAGUCAAAAUCUGCGUCUGCUAAACUCUGCAGGAAAUGUGGCCACAGUGGCAGAAUCCUACGUAGCAUCUAAAAUUUGGUGCCCCAAUUUUACAUUUUUUGUUACAUUGGAGGGAAUCGAACCAGGGAUUGUCCUAAUUCGAACCCGAGUAAGGAAUAAUCCAAAGCCUCUCAGGCUAAGAUUUUAUAGUAAGGAAUUAUGGAGAUCCUAUUUCCUUGUUUCCACUAUGUUCACUAUAAUGCAAAUUCUGUUAAUAGGGUAACAUGUCAUUAAGUAACAACCCGCGGCUUCAUGAAGUUUUAAGUAUUGGAGCAGAUGAUAGACGAGCAUUGAGCACUACAUAAAACUGAGAAGAAAGGCUAGAAUAGAUGAGCAACGUAAUAGACAACCCACAAAUAAGAGAAAACCGAGUGUCUUUUGAUUCAGAAUUGGAA